UUUCACAGAUAUCCAGUGAUACAUCAAACUGGCUUUGACUCAUCCAUUGUUCACUUUUGCUGCCUGUUACGCUAACGAAAAUGUUUUUCGGAAAAUUGGUUACAAUUUCUGUGACCUGCAUGUGCGUUAUAUUUUACAAUGUUAUUAAAGAUGUAAAUGGCGAACGACUACGAAGAAUGGUCAAUGCCUAUGACGCUACAAUUGAAGAAUUUCCGUCACAUGCCUUCGUUCAUUCUCUGUAUAUACGGAACGGCAGAUACUCUGGUUUCUAUUGUGGAGGAUCACUUGUUACCCAUUUUCAUAUUCUUACUGCUGCACACUGUACCUUCCACAUCAAUGAACGGACAGACUUCGUUCACUCCCUUCGUCCGGAAGAACUUUUUGUUACACUAGGGGUUAAUAGACUGCAGGAAACUUCCGACAACUACAGUGUCAUAGAAAUACAUAGACACGAGCAAUACCACGUGCGUAGUUAUCGCAAUCCUUGGUCAACUUACGAUAUAGCCAUUCUCGAGUUAGAUGAACAGGCAAGUCUGUAUACUACAGGACAAAUUAUUAAUCUGCCAUGCAACCAUCCAGCCCUGGGUGAUAAAGGCAUAUUGCUCGGAGCCAGCCCCCCAUCUGCCCAAGAUCAAUCGGGUGGAAAUUUGCAAAAAGCUCAGUUUAAAGUAGUAGAGUGCACUGAUUGGGAAGAAACUGGCCUAAUUUGCGUCUCUAGCAAAACCGCUACCGUGACACUAGGUGACAGCGGUUCUGCUUUCAUAAUCGGCAAGAGAAUUUAUGGCAUAAUCUCGACAAUACCACUCCAGAGGGACUAUUAUAUUUUAACGGAUGUCUUUUACUAUUUCGAAUGGAUUGUGAAAGUUAUUGGCUUGCCAGAUGAAUUUGACUUCUUGAAGGCCGGUUACAUUGAUAGGAACCUUUAAUUUCGGCAAUUAAAUAUUAUUCUGAUAAGAAUUUGAAGAGGAUUUACGAUUAGAAAUUUCAAGCAUUUGUUUGCACAUAUGACGAGCGAAAUUAUAUCUUUCUCUCAUUGUACUGGCUAGUGGGGAUGCAUGAAUUGUAACAAAUGUUGGUCAAAAUAUGUCAAUCCAAAAUUUGGAGAGAUGAAUUGGAGAUAAAAAAAUUAUUUUAUUCCUUUA